AGAGUUUGAUCAUGGCUCAGAGUGAACGCUGGCGGCAGGCCUAACACAUGCAAGUCGAACGGCAGCACAGCAGUAGCAAUACUGUGGGUGGCGAGUGGCGGACGGGUGAGGAAUACAUGGGAAUCUACCCUGUCGUGGGGGAUAACGUAGGGAAACUUACGCUAAUACCGCAUACGACCGAGAGGUGAAAGCGGCGGACCGCAAGGCGUCGCGCGAUUGGAUGAGCCCAUGUCGGAUUAGCUAGUUGGCGGGGUAAAGGCCCACCAAGGCGACGAUCCGUAGCUGGUCUGAGAGGAUGAUCAGCCACACUGGACCUGAGACACGGUCCAGACUCCUACGGGAGGCAGCAGUGGGGAAUAUUGGACAAUGGGCGCAAGCCUGAUCCAGCCAUGCCGCGUGAGUGAAGAAGGCCUUCGGGUUGUAAAGCUCUUUUGUCCGGAAAGAAAAGCUCUCGGUUAAUACCCGGGGGUUCUGACGGUACCGGAAGAAUAAGCACCGGCUAACUUCGUGCCAGCAGCCGCGGUAAUACGAAGGGUGCAAGCGUUACUCGGAAUUACUGGGCGUAAAGCGUGCGUAGGUGGUUCGUUAAGUCUGAUGUGAAAGCCCUGGGCUCAACCUGGGAAUGGCAUUGGAAACUGGCGACCUAGAGUGCGGUAGAGGGCAGUGGAAUUCCCGGUGUAGCAGUGAAAUGCGUAGAGAUCGGGAGGAACAUCUGUGGCGAAGGCGACUGCCUGGACCAGCACUGACACUGAGGCACGAAAGCGUGGGGAGCAAACAGGAUUAGAUACCCUGGUAGUCCACGCCCUAAACGAUGCGAACUGGAUGUUGGGUGCAACUAGGCACUCAGUAUCGAAGCUAACGCGUUAAGUUCGCCGCCUGGGGAGUACGGUCGCAAGACUGAAACUCAAAGGAAUUGACGGGGGCCCGCACAAGCGGUGGAGUAUGUGGUUUAAUUCGACGCAACGCGAAAACCUU
rnacentral:rRNA from 1 species